rnacentral:rRNA from 1 species
CGCGCAGGCGGUCGUAUAAGUCGAAUGUGAAAGCCCCCGGCUCAACUGGGGAGAGUCAUUCGAUACUGUUCGACUCGAAGGCAGGAGAGGGAAGUGGAAUUCCGGGUGUAGUGGUGAAAUGCGUAGAUAUCCGGAGGAACACCAGUGGCGAAGGCGACUUUCUGGCCUGUUCUUGACGCUGAGGCGCGAAAGCUAGGGGAGCAAACG